rnacentral:tRNA from 1 species
GGGGAUAUAGCUCAGUUGGUAGAGUGCUUGCCUUGCAUUCACACAGCCCUGGGUUCAAUCCCCAGGACCACCA